AGAGUUUGAAUCUGGCUCAGAUUGAACGCUGGCGGCAUGCCUUACACAUGCAAGUCGAACGGCAGCACGGGGGCAACCCUGGUGGCGAGUGGCGAACGGGUGAGUAAUACAUCGGAACGUGUCCUGUAGUGGGGGAUAGCCCGGCGAAAGCCGGAUUAAUACCGCAUACGCUNUGCGGAGGAAAGCGGGGGAUCCUUCGGGACCUCGCGCUACAGGGGCGGCCGAUGGCAGAUUAGCUAGUUGGUGGGGUAAAGGCCUACCAAGGCGACGAUCUGUAGCUGGUCUGAGAGGACGACCAGCCACACUGGGACUGAGACACGGCCCAGACUCCUACGGGAGGCAGCAGUGGGGAAUUUUGGACAAUGGGCGAAAGCCUGAUCCAGCAAUGCCGCGUGUGUGAAGAAGGCCUUCGGGUUGUAAAGCACUUUUGUCCGGAAAGAAAACCUCCGAGUUAAUACCUUGGGGGGAUGACGGUACCGGAAGAA
rnacentral:rRNA from 1 species